AGUUGCUAACAGGUGAAGCUGAGCACUCUAGACGAACUGCCGUUGACAAAACGGAGGAAGGUGGGAUGACGUCAAAUCAUCAUGCCCCUUAUGUUCUGGGCUACACACGUGCUACAAUGGCCGGUACAGACGGAGGCGAAGCCGCGAGGCGGAGCAAAUCCGAAAAAGCCGGUCUCAGUUCGGAUUGCAGGCUGCAAUUCGCCUGCAUGAAGUCGGAAUCGCUAGUAAUCGCAGGUCAGCAUACUGCGGUGAAUACGUUCCCGGGCCUU
rnacentral:rRNA from 1 species